rnacentral:rRNA from 1 species
CCGGCGACCGGCGCACGGGUGAGUAACACGUAUGCAACCUGCCCUCCGCAGGGGGAUAACCCGGAGAAAUCCGGACUAAUACCGCGUGGUACAUCUGUGGGGCAUCCCACGGGUGUUAAAAGGAAGCGAUUCCGGCGGAGGAUGGGCAUGCGGCGCAUUAGCUAGUUGGCGGGGUAACGGCCCACCAAGGCGACGAUGCGUAGGGGUUCUGAGAGGAAGGUCCCCCACACUGGUACUGAGACACGGACCAGACUCCUACGGGAGGCAGCAG